CGCGGCCUAUCAGCUUGUUGGUGAGGUAAUGGCUCACCAAGGCGAUGACGGGUAGCCGGCCUGAGAGGGCGACCGGCCACACUGGGACUGAGACACGGCCCAGACUCCUACGGGAGGCAGCAGUGGGGAAUAUUGCACAAUGGGCGCAAGCCUGAUGCAGCGACGCCGCGUGAGGGAUGAAGGCCUUCGGGUUGUAAACCUCUUUCAGGAGGGACGAAGCGCAAGUGACGGUACCUCCAGAAGAAGCCCCGGCCAACUACGUGCCAGCAGCCGCGGUAAUACGUAGGGGGCGAGCGUUGUCCGGAUUCAUUGGGCGUAAAGAGCUCGUAGGCGGCUCAGUAAGUCGGCCGUGAAAGCCCAGGGCUCAACCCUGGGAGGCCGGUCGAUACUGCUGUGGCUAGGGUCCGGUAGAGGAGAGUGGAAUUCCCGGUGUAGCGGUGAAAUGCGCAGAUAUCGGGAGGAACACCAGUAGCGAAGGCGGCUCUCUGGGCCGGUACCGACGCUGAGGAGCGAAAGCUAGGGGAGCAAACAGGAUUAGAUACCCUGGUAGUCCUAGCCGUAAACGUUGGGCACUAGGUGUGGCGGAUUCAUUGACGUCUGCCGUGCCGUAGCUAACGCAUUAAGUGCCCCGCCUGGGGAGUACGG
rnacentral:rRNA from 1 species